rnacentral:rRNA from 1 species
GGCUAUACAUGCAGUCGAACGCUUCUUUUUCCACCGGAGCUUGCUCCACCGGAAAAAGAGGAGUGGCGAACGGGUGAGUAACACGUGGGUAACCUGCCCAUCAGAAGGGGAUAACACUUGGAAACAGGUGCUAAUACCGUAUAACAAUCAAAACCGCAUGGUUUUGAUUUGAAAGGCGCUUUCGGGUGUCGCUGAUGGAUGGACCCGCGGUGCAUUAGCUAGUUGGUGAGGUAACGGCUCACCAAGGCCACGAUGCAUAGCCGACCUGAGAGGGUGAUCGGCCACAUUGGGACUGAGACACGGCCCAAACUCCUACGGGAGGCAGCAGUAGGGAAUCUUCGGCAAUGGACGAAAGUCUGACCGAGCAACGCCGCGUGAGUGAAGAAGGUUUUCGGAUCGUAAAACUCUGUUGUUAGAGAAGAACAAGGAUGAGAGUAACUGUUCAUCCCUUGACGGUAUCUAACCAGAAAGCCACGGCUAACUACGUGCCAGCAGCCGCGGUAAUACGUAGGUGGCAAGCGUUGUCCGGAUUUAUUGGGCGUAAAGCGAGCGCAGGCGGUUUCUUAAGUCUGAUGUGAAAGCCCCCGGCUCAACCGGGGAGGGUCAUUGGAAACUGGGAGACUUGAGUGCAGAAGAGGAGAGUGGAAUUCCAUGUGUAGCGGUGAAAUGCGUAGAUAUAUGGAGGAACACCAGUGGCGAAGGCGGCUCUCUGGUCUGUAACUGACGCUGAGGCUCGAAAGCGUGGGGAGCAAACAGGAUUAGAUACCCUGGUAGUCCACGCCGUAACGAUGAGUGCUAAGUGUUGGAGGGUUUCCGCCCUUCAGUGCUGCAGCUAACGCAUUAAGCACUCCGCCUGGGGAGUACGACCGCAAGGUUGAAACUCAAAGGAAUUGACGGGGGCCCGCACAAGCGGUGGAGCAUGUGGUUUAAUUCGAAGCAACGCGAAGAACCUUACCAGGUCUUGACAUCCUUUGACCACUCUAGAGAUAGAGCUUCCCCUUUCGGGGCAAAGUGACAGGUGG